UCUGGGUAAAAGAGCGACCUCUUGUGGUGAUUCCUAACCUAGCAUGUUGUUUACAUUUUAUUAGUAGUCUCGCGUCAGUUCAAUGUCACGGCGAAUUAAGCGGUCUCAUAUUUUUCUCUCUUGAUUUAAUUUGGCCAGAAAACACGUUUGCCUGUAAGUACGAAGUCUUAUAGUUAUCUCAUCAUCUAGCAUUAGGAAUGAUAGUAAUGAGUUCCUUUGUUAAUGAAGUUGAGUUCGUUCUAAAUGUGUAUUUUGAUCGCAUAUGCUAAACGUUAGCCUCGUAAUGUAAAUUCCCUUAAAAGUUAGCAUUAAGCUAGCGCAUUUAUUUUUAUAUUGUUUAACAGAUUAAAUUUCAAUAUUAUUCAUAAACAACUUCUGUAUUUGAAUGGAAUACUGAAAUGUAUUAUUCUUUGCAGUUUUACAGUGCUUCCUGAGUAAAGUUUGGAAAGGAUAAACAAGCUUCAUUCUUUGUCUUGGGGAAACUGUUAACUUUCUGCCGAGCUGAUGUAACCGGCUAGGCCACGCCAUACACACACAGAAGCGGAGGCAGAACAGUAAAAAGGCAACUCUUCUAACGGCCAGCACUUGUCGAUCUGUAAGUAGAAAAUCACCUAAAACAACCAUCAUGGCACACAGAAUAGAAGAAGAGGAUUUGGAUGGAUUAGAAACCAGAUCACAAAUAUCUAACUACUCAAGAACCAGCAGACAAUCUGUGGCUAAUUCUAUGGCAUUGAAAGCACGGGCUAAAGCAGAAUCUGCACGUGCUGAGCUUGCAUUUGCUAGAAAAGAGGCAGAGCUAAUAAAACAACAAGCCAUUCUAAACGCCAGUUUGCAUGAACUGAAAUUAGCAAAAGCGGCGGCUGCUGCUAACGCCGAAGCUGAAAGCCUUGAAGCAGCUGCUGAGGAGGAAUAUGAACUGUUAAAUCCACUUCAGCAAAUUCAAAAAAACUCAAUGCCUCUAACUCCAGUUGAAAUUCAUUGUGGAAAUGCUGCAAUGCAGAUUCCUAUUAUACAUCCAGGUCACCAGCCUUAUCAGAGUGCAAAAGCAGCCAAUACAGUAAAUUUAGUUACAGUUUCACAAUCAGAUGCAAGACCACAAACGACCUCACCAGUGUGCCAGCUUUCCAUGGACAGCAGUGAAGCGAACAGAUGUGACAAACAGGUCAACGCGUCACCAAGUGAAAUCAGUGAACACAAGUUUCUUGAGCAAACUCACCACUCGUACAAAGGAGAGCCAAUCUGGACCCCAAAUCAGAUAUCCAGCACUGCACAGAGAAAAUCAUACAGCUACGGUGAGCUCUCCCACAAUGUGAAACAAACCAGUGACGAUUUCAAGCCUCUCCAAUCUUACUACACACAGUCACCACCCCCCAUAUACAACACAAGCCCACCAAGUGCAGUGGCUGCAACAGACCUAGGGAAGUACCUGAUGCGACGAGAGAUGGUGAGCUCGGGCCUACUGAAGUUCGACGACAAGCCGGAGAACUACUGGGCCUGGAAGGCGUCUUUUAUCAGCUCUACUGAUGACCUGAAACUCUCCGCUAGAGAGGAACUUGAUUUGCUGUGCAAAUGGCUCGGGCCCUCGUCAUCUGAGCAAGCUAAAAGGAUCAGAGCGGUACACAUUCACAAUGCACCCACAGGCCUCAGGAUGUUAUGGCAAAGACUGGAGGAUGUUUAUGGCUCACCUGAGGUGAUUGAAAAUGCUCUUCUGAGAAAAGUUGAGGAAUUUCCUAAGAUCUCAGGCAAAGAAAACCACAAGUUAAGAGAACUGGGAGACAUUCUCAUGGAACUUGAAGCAGCCAGAGCAGAUGGAUACUUACCUGGUCUCUCAUAUCUCAACACCUCCCGUGGAGUAAGCCCAAUAGUCCAGAAACUCCCUCUCAACCUACAAGAGAGGUGGAUUACUGUAGGAUCACACUACAAAGACCAACACAGGGUGCCAUAUCCUCCCUUUGGAAUCUUCGUCAACUUUGUUUGUGAACAGGCAAGAACACGCAACGACCCUAGCUUUGCCAGCAUUACAGGAGCAUGGUGUGCAACAAAGACAGAAAAGAGUGUUUACCAGCCAGCCAGUCAUCACGUGAGAACAUCAGUUGCUGUGAGGAGGACUGAAAUCUCAACAAGUGACAGCGAUAAUACAACAGUAGUCAGGAAACAAGAGGAUCCCGACAAACAGUGCCCACUACAUAACAAGCCUCAUCCAUUGAGAAAAUGUCGUGGCUUCAGAAACAAAACUUUUGAGGAAAGGAAAGCGUAUCUGAAAGAAAAACGCAUCUGUUUCAAGUGCUGUGCUUCAUCCACUCAUGUCGCUAAGGACUGUAACAGGCCUCUGCUGUGCCAGGAGUGCAAUAGUGACAAACACCUGUCAGCGUUACAUCCAGGGCCCGCCCCAUGGAAAACUGAUGUACAUGUGAGUACUAUAGAUCACAGCGGGGAGCGGCAGCCGCUGGAGGCCAUUCCGUCUGUGACGUCCAAAUGCACAGAAAUCUGUGGGAGUGUGAACACGUCAAAAUCCUGUUCCAAAAUCUGUCUCGCCUUAGUGUAUCCUGCUGGCCAAAGAGACAAAGCCAUAAAGACCUACAUUGUUCUUGACGAGCAGAGCAACAAGUCCCUUGGAAGAACAGAAUUCUUUGAACAUUUUGGAAUUCAAGGCACAGGGUCGAGGUACACUCUGAAGACAUGCUCAGGAGUGGUGGAUACAGCAGGGCGACGCGCCAGCAACUUCAUGGUGGAGUCAGUAGACGGUAACAUCCACAUUCCCUUGCCUACUCUGAUUGAGUGUGACAUGCUGCCAGACGACAGGUCCGAAAUACCUUCACCAGAGGUAGCUAGACAUCAUCCUCACCUCAAACACUUGGCAGACAAAAUCCCAGCCCUGGAUCCCAACGCGUCCAUCCUCCUCCUACUUGGGCGAGAUAUAAUACGGCUGCACAAAGUGCGUGAACAAUGUAAUGGGCCACACAAUGCACCGUUUGCUCAGCGACUAGACCUUGGAUGGGUGAUAAUCGGAGAUGUGUGUCUGGGAAGAGCACAUAAAACCACUACUGCCAGCGUCUUCAGAACCAGUGUGCUGAUAAGUGGACGCCACUCCAUCCUUAACCCAUGCAUCAGCAACUUAAUGGUCAGAGAGAAGAUUGACAGCGCUGUACCAGCCCACACCUUUCCAUGUGUGUCUCAAGCAGCCAAUGAAGCAGAUAGCCUGGGCAGAGACGUGUUUCAAAGAACACAGCGCGACGAUCAGCUUGGCCUGUCCAUCGAAGAUGAGUUGUUCCUUGACCUCAUGGAUAAGGAAGUCUACAUAGACGAAGCAAACUGCUGGGUAGCACCGCUGCCAUUUAAGCCAAACAGGCCGUGUCUGCCCAACAACAGACAUCAUGCUGUCAAUCGCCUCGCCUCCCUCCGUCGCAUGCUGGAGAAGAAACAUGGCAUGAAAGAACACUUCUUCAACUUCAUGCAAGCAAUGUUUGAUGCUGAUCAAGCGGAGGUUGCCCCAGCACUGAAGCCACAACAAGAAUGCUGGUACCUACCAAUAUUCGGUGUUUAUCACCCACAGAAAAAAGACCAAAUACGUGUAGUGUUUGAUUCCAGUGCGAAACACGAAGGCACCUCCCUUAAUGACGUUCUUCUCAGUGGGCCUGACAUGAACAACACCCUACUGGGGGUCCUCAUGCGUUUCCGCAGAGAGCCUGUAGCGGUAACUGCAGAUAUCCAGCAGAUGUUCUACUGCUUCAUUGUCCAGGAAGAUCAUCGUGAUUUUCUACGAUUUUUGUGGUUCAAAGACAACGACCCAAACAAACACAUCACUGAGUAUCGCAUGAAAGUGCACGUUUUUGGCAACUCUCCUUCCCCUGCAGUAGCCAUCUACGGCCUGAGAAGAGCAGCCUUGCAUGGAGUAAAGGAACAGGACAGUGAAGCUACACAGUUCGUCAUGAGAAAUUUCUAUGUUGAUGAUGGACUUUCCUCAUUCCCCACCGACGAAAAAGCCAUCGCUGUACUGAAAAACACAAAAGAGAUAUUAGCAGAGUCAAGCAUCAAGUUACACAAAAUAGCCUCUAAUAGUCGUACUGUGAUGGAUGCCUUUCCCCCUGAGGAGCGGGCCAAAGACUUGGUGGAUCUAGAGCUAACUGUUGACCCCUUGCCACUGCAGCGGAGUUUGGGACUCACCUGGAACUUGCAGUCAGACACGUUCACGUUCCGUGUAUCUAGAGAGAAGAAGCCAUUUACUAGAAGGGGGAUCCUGUCUACAGUCAAUGGACUUUACGACCCCCUAGGGCUUGUAGCACCUGUCACAAUCAAAGGAAAGGUCUUAGUCAGGGAGCUGUCUGCCGAUCAAGCUGAAUGGGACGCUCCUCUGCCAGCGCCGAAAGAGGAACAGUGGAGAAUGUGGACGGACUCACUCUGCGAGCUUGAGCAGCUUCAAAUUGACCGACCAUAUGUGCCAGUUUCCUUGUGCUCCACAAAACACAGAGAACUCUGCAUCUUCUCCGACGCCUCCACUAUGGCCAUAUCAGCAGUGGCUUAUCUCAAAGCAACAGAUAAAAAUGGACACACUCACAUUGGUUUCCUCAUGGGCAAGGCAAAGCUGGCUCCUCAUCCCCCGCACACUGUACCACGGCUCGAGCUUUGUGCUGCUGUCUUGGCUGUUGAAUUGGCAGACUUAAUUAAAGAAGAGCUCGAUGUAGACAUCCACAAAGUCACAUUCUACACAGACAGUCGGAUUGUAUUGGGAUACAUCAACAACACAAGUAGAAGAUUCUAUGUAUAUGUCGCCAACAGAGUCACACGCAUCAGAAAGUCUUCAAGCCCGGAACAAUGGCACUUUGUCAGCACAGAACACAACCCUGCAGACCAUGGGACUCGCUCAGUGCCAGCAGCCAUGUUGAAAGACACCAAUUGGUUCAAAGGUCCAGCCUUCUUAGCCAAAGACACCUCACCACCAGAGAAGUUUGAGCUCAUUGACCCUGAAGCAGACGCAGACGUGCGCUCACAGAUCCAAACUUUCAUAACCAAGACCGUCAAAGGAGAGCUGGGAUCAAACCGAUUUGAACGCUUCUCCAGCUGGAAGUCACUUAUUCGAGCCGUUACCAAGCUCAUACACAAGGCCAGGUCUUGUGCAAAGGGCUCAAUCAGCAAUACGGAUGAGCCGACACAGGCAAGACUAAUAGUUGUCAGAAACGCUCAACACGAUACAUUUGCUGAGGAGAUAAAAUGCCUUUCCAGAGGUGAAGUCGUUCCAAAGUCGAGCUCUCUGAGGAAACUGAAUCCAAUUGUGGAUAAGGAUGGCCUGCUGAGAGUUGGAGGACGCAUUCCUUUGGCUGACAUACCCUGGGAAGAGAAACAUCCCAUCAUUGUCCCCAGAAAACACCACGUAGCUACCUUAUUGGUGAGGCAUUACCAUGCAAAGGUCGCUCAUCAGGGAAGACAUCUGACAGAGGGUGCUGUUCGCUCUGCUGGAUUGUGGCUGAUUGGAGGCAAGAGACUGGUGUCAAGCAUCAUACAUAGAUGUGUGACCUGUAAUAAGCUGAGAGGAAGAUUGGAAGAACAAAAAAUGUCAAGCCUACCUUCUGAACGACUCGACCCAGGUCCUCCGUUCACAAAUGUAGGUGUCGAUGUGUUCGGCCCAUGGACCAUAAGCUCAAGACGAACUCGCGGCGGCAUUGCAGAGAACAAACGCUGGGCAGUCAUCUUUACUUGCAUGGUAACAAGAGCUGUGCAUAUCGAAGUGCUCGAGUCUCUGUCCUCCUCAAGCUUUGUUAAUUCAUUAAGGAGAUUCACAGCUGUCCGUGGUCCUGUCCGCCUGUUUCGUUCUGACCAGGGAACGAACUUCAUUGGGGCAUGCAAGGAACUUCAGAUCAAAUCUGAUGAUCAGGAACUAAAUGCUUACCUUCACAAUCAAAGCUGCACCUGGACCUUUAAUCCUCCCCACUCUUCCCAUAUGGGUGGAGUGUGGGAGCGUAUGAUCGGUAUUGCCCGUAGAAUACUGGAUGCACUGUUGUUACAGACAAACACUGCCCACCUGUCUCAUGAAGUUUUGGUCACACUCAUGGCUGAAGUCAUGGCCAUUAUGAAUGCUAGACCCCUUGUUCCUGUGUCAUCCGAUCCAGACAUGCCCACAGUGUUCACACCUGCCAUGCUGCUAACACAGAAAGUUGACCCAGUACUGCCACCAGCGGGAGAGUAUGACCUUAAAGACCUAUACAGCAAACAGUGGAAGCAAGUACAGGCGUUGGCCGACUCAUUCUGGAAACGCUGGCGUCAAGAAUAUCUGGUGUUACUCCAACCAAGGAGAAAGUGGCACAUGGACAAGCCAAACCUGAGCGAAGGAGAUGUUGUCCUGCUCAAAGAUGCUCAGGUCAAGCGGAAUGAAUGGCCUGUUGGAGUGGUGGUGAACGCCAUUCCCAGCAAAGACUCUAAAGUUCGCAAAGUGGACGUGAGGGUGGGCAGACAGGGUACUCAGCGGGUGUAUUCUAGACCAGUCUCAGAAGUUGUUCUACUUGUAAAAAGGGAAUAGUGUUAUAAUACAUUAUAACAAGCGGGGAGUGUUAUGUUCUGGGUAAAAGAGCGACCUCUUGUGGUGAUUCCUAACCUAGCAUGUUGUUUACAUUUUAUUAGUAGUCUCGCGUCAGUUCAAUGUCACGGCGAAUUAAGCGGUCUCAUAUUUUUCUCUCUUGAUUUAAUUUGGCCAGAAAACACGUUUGCCUUUUUACAGUGCUUCCUGAGUAAAGUUUGGAAAGGAUAAACAAGCUUCAUUCUUUGUCUUGGGGAAACUGUUAACUUUCUGCCGAGCUGAUGUAACCGGCUAGGCCACGCCAUACACACACAGAAGCGG